rnacentral:rRNA from 1 species
GGGAAAAACCCCCCCCAACCAAAACCCUUUUAAGAUUUUUUGUCUUUGCUCAGGACGAACGCUGGCGGCGUGCUUAACACAUGCAAGUCGAGCGGUAAGGCCUUUCGGGGUACACGAGCGGCGAACGGGUGAGUAACACGUGGGUGAUCUGCCCUGCACUUCGGGAUAAGCCUGGGAAACUGGGUCUAAUACCGGAUAUGACCUCCUAUCGCAUGGUGGGUGGUGGAAAGAUUUAUCGGUGCAGGAUGGGCCCGCGGCCUAUCAGCUUGUUGGUGGGGUAAUGGCCUACCAAGGCGACGACGGGUAGCCGACCUGAGAGGGUGACCGGCCACACUGGGACUGAGACACGGCCCAGACUCCUACGGGAGGCAGCAGUGGGGAAUAUUGCACAAUGGGCGAAAGCCUGAUGCAGCGACGCCGCGUGAGGGAUGACGGCCUUCGGGUUGUAAACCUCUUUCAGCAGGGACGAAGCGCAAGUGACGGUACCUGCAGAAGAAGCACCGGCUAACUACGUGCCAGCAGCCGCGGUAAUACGUAGGGUGCAAGCGUUGUCCGGAAUUACUGGGCGUAAAGAGUUCGUAGGCGGUUUGUCGCGUCGUUUGUGAAAACCAGCAGCUCAACUGCUGGCUUGCAGGCGAUACGGGCAGACUUGAGUACUGCAGGGGAGACUGGAAUUCCUGGUGUAGCGGUGAAAUGCGCAGAUAUCAGGAGGAACACCGGUGGCGAAGGCGGGUCUCUGGGCAGUAACUGACGCUGAGGAACGAAAGCGUGGGUAGCGAACAGGAUUAGAUACCCUGGUAGUCCACGCCGUAAACGGUGGGCGCUAGGUGUGGGUUCCUUCCACGGAAUCCGUGCCGUAGCUAACGCAUUAAGCGCCCGCCUGGAGACCCCCACCGGA